UAAAAAGAUAAGCUAAUUAAGCUACUGGGUUCA
rnacentral:tRNA from 1 species